CUUGAUUUCAUCCUGGUGUCACCUGGCCAUGAGUUUAGGAACCACAGACGAUGCAUUUUCUCCACAUUGUCUCUUCUGUUUCUGCAAAGCCCAGAGAACAUGCUGUAUGAGUAUGAUGGAAAUCAUUUCACUUUCUCUGAUUUAUGGUUAGUGAAGAGGAUUUCAGGCUGGCAUCAAGUUACAGAGUCUCACUGUGUUGCCUAGGCUGGAGUGCAGUGGUGUGAUCUCAGCUCACUGC